UGCCUGCCUAUCUUCUGCCUCUGGCUCU
rnacentral:piRNA from 1 species